AGAGUUUGAUUCUGGCUCAGAACGAACGCUGGCGGCAGGCCUAAUACAUGCAAGUCGAACGAUAUAGUGGCAGACGGGUGAGUAACGCGUGGGGAUGUGCCCUUCACUAAGGAAUAGCUUUUGGAAACGAAAGGUAAUACCUUAUACGCCCUUCGGGGGAAAGAUUUAUCGGUGAAGGAUCAACCCGCGUUAGAUUAGCUAGUUGGUGAGGUAAUGGCUCACCAAGGCGACGAUCUAUAGCUGGUCUGAGAGGACGACCAGCCACACUGGGACUGAGACACGGCCCAGACUCCUACGGGAGGCAGCAGUAGGGAAUCUUGCACAAUGGGCGAAAGCCUGAUGCAGCCAUGCCGCGUGAAUGAUGAAGGCCUUAGGGUUGUAAAAUUCUUUCAUCAGGGAUGAUAAUGACAGUACCUGAAGAAGAAGCCCCGGCUAACUUCGUGCCAGCAGCCGCGGUAAUACGAAGGGGGCUAGCGUUGUUCGGAAUUACUGGGCGUAAAGAGUUCGUAGGCGGACUUUUAAGUCAGAUGUGA
rnacentral:rRNA from 1 species